rnacentral:lncRNA from 1 species
AAAAAAGGAUUCUUUCAGUGAAUAGGACGAUACUUCGGAUGAAUAAUAAUUUCGGUCGUGAUAAAAAAGGUCGAAAUUUUGAUCACUGCAUAGAAGGCAUCUUUUGGUGAAAGUGACGUCAUCUCGUGUAAUACGUACCUAUAGUAGUUAAGAUCUAAGGUGGUGUUUGGUUGGCACAAAUGUAACGUAACCUGAUUACUGAAGGUAACGAAUUCCAUUACAUAUGUUUGGUUGCGGCGGUUUGUAAUCAAUUUACACUGUAAUCUAAUUCCUUACCUAAAUAACAUAUAUACAAGCUUGUUACCCCUCCUCCCCCACUGUAAUCAGAUACAACACCCACACCGUAAUCUGAUUACGUUACCAGAAUGCAACCAAACAAAGAGGGUAAUCACCCAUUCCACCACUAAAUACACUGUAAUCUGAUUCCCUUUGCGUUUACGUUACCUUAGCGUGAACCAAACACUAAGGGUUAAUAUUUCAGCCAAGAUCGAACCUAAUGGUCGUAACUUUAGAAUUCACGCAGCUUAAUGCAGAUUUUCCAAACUUCCAAUCGAGUCAUUUUUUAUAGGAAAGGAGGAUAACAAACAACUAUUUUUGCUUGAUGCUUUCUAACAAGGGGACUCACUUAUUGCCUCCUUUCCUUGUGCAUUCCUAAGACAGUGUGCAUGGGACUGGGCACAGUCGAGUCAGCCAAACCCUUUACAGCUCCUGAAUUCACAUGGGGGACAAGACGUAAUCUUUUCACAGUCACUCGCUGCCAUCUCCAAGGAUCACAAUCACCUCCAAACAGGCCAGGCACCGCCGAGCUGGGUCCAUCGUCAGCUCUUGAUCGUACCCCCUGAUUCCUGUCAGAUUUAAUGCAGAAAAUCCAGAUCCUUCCCCCCCACAAUAUGAUGAGGACCCCGCAAAGGCCUUCUGAUCAAGUCACAAAUCAAC